rnacentral:rRNA from 1 species
UACGGAGGGUGCGAGCGUUGUCCGGAAUCAUUGGGCGUAAAGGGCGCGUAGGUGGCCCGGUCAGUUCGUGGUGAAAGCGCGGGGCUCAACCCUGCGUCGGCCAUGAAUACUGCCGCGGCUGGAGCACUGUAGAGGCAGGCGGAAUUCCGGGUGUAGCGGUGGAAUGCGUAGAGAUCGGCAGGAACACCCAGGGGGAAACCAGUGGACUGGGCAUGUGCUGACGCUCAGGUGCGAAAGCGUGGGGAGCGAACCGG